rnacentral:rRNA from 1 species
GACGAACGCUGGCGGCGUGCUUAACACAUGCAAGUCGAACGGAAAGGCCCUGCUUUUGUGGGGUGCUCGAGUGGCGAACGGGUGAGUAACACGUGAGUAACCUGCCCUUGACUUUGGUAUAACUUCAGGAAACUGGGGCUAAUACCGGAUAGGAGCUCCUGCUGCAUGGUGGGGGUUGGAAAGUUUCGGCGGUUGGGGAUGGACUCGCGGCUUAUCAGCUUGUUGGUGGGGUAGUGACUUACCAAGGCUUUGACGGGUAGCCGGCCUGAGAGGGUGACCGGCCACAUUGGGACUGAGAUACGGCCCAGACUCCUACGGGAGGCAGCAGUGGGGAAUAUUGCACAAUGGGCGGAAGCCUGAUGCAGCAACGCCGCGUGCGGGAUGACGGCCUUCGGGUUGUAAACCGCUUUCGCCUGUGACGAAGCGUGAGUGACGGUAAUGGGUAAAGAAGCACCGGCUAACUACGUG